GAGUUAUGUUCGUCGAUGAAUCUAAGAUUGUCCUUGAAGAUCUCAAACCGCUUCUCCUUCUCUCCCAAAGCAUUGUAGGCUUUGCCAUGCUUCAUCAGCCACAUCUCGUACAUUCUUCGAAUUUGAGCAUCGGUUCUUUCUGGUUGUGGGUUUUGUCCAUGCCCGAUAUUGUAAUCAAUAAUGGACAUGUCCAAGGCGAGGGAGAUUGAAAACAACGAAAGCAGGACGAACAAGGUGAGAGAUCUCCCAUGAGGAUCCAUGGCUGGGGAAUGGUUAGUGAUACGGGUGAAUUUGCGAUGUGGGUAUUCGAGUGUAUAUAUAGAAGGUUGCGUAGGCGUAUAUAUAGAUAUGUACGUAUAAGGAGAAGCAAGAGAGCAGAGGCUGAAGAGCAGAAGAAUCAGUUACCG
rnacentral:misc_RNA from 1 species